AUUCCAGCUCCAAUAGCGUAUAUUUAAGUUGUUGCAGUUAAAAAGCUCGUAGUUUGAUUUCGGGUGGGUACCGCCGGUCUCCCACUGGGUAUGUACUGGCGUGGCCCGCCUUGCCGUCGGGGACGAUCUCCUGGGCUUUACUGUCCGGGAAUCGGAGUCGACGAUGUUACUUUGAGUAAAUUAGAGUGUUCAAAGCAAGCCUACGCUCUGAAUAUAAUAGCAUGGGAUAACACGACAGGACUCUGGCCUAUCGUGUUGGUCUGUAGGACCGGAGUAAUGAUUAAGAGGGACAGUCAGGGGCACUCGUAUUCCGCCGAGAGAGGUGAAAUUCUCAGACCAGCGGAAGACGAACCACUGCGAAAGCAUUUGCCGGGGAUGUUUUCAUUA
rnacentral:rRNA from 1 species